rnacentral:rRNA from 1 species
CAGUCGCCGCGGUAAUACGUAGGGUGCAAGCGUUAAUCGGAAUUACUGGGCGUAAAGCGUGCGCAGGCGGUUAUAUAAGACAGAUGUGAAAUCCCCGGGCUCAACCUGGGAACUGCAUUUGUGACUGUAUAGCUAGAGUACGGCAGAGGGGGAUGGAAUUCCGCGUGUAGCAGUGAAAUGCGUAGAUAUGCGGAGGAACACCGAUGGCGAAGGCAAUCCCCUGGGCCUGUACUGACGCUCAUGCACGAAAGCGUGGGGAGCAAACAGGAUUAGAUACCCCUGUAGUCCCUGUCUCUUAUAA